ACAGGGAGAGAGGGCGACAGACAGAGGCACCGCACGCCGCAGCGCUCUGCUCUGAUCACACAAUGUGGUUUCAUUAUAUAUGGUGUUCUAUGCUUUUUGGUCACUGAUUUGAGCUGUGGCGGAGGUAUGCUCUCUCUGAGUGCCAUUCUAGUUAUAUUAUAUUAUAUGAUAUGAUAUUAUAUUAUAUUUUGAUUGAUAUUGAUUUUCAACAUAAUAAAUACCAUAAACAGGACAGCCUCAGACAAAACUUCUGUCUCAUUUAAAAUAUCUCCAUAUCUACAAACCCUGACAUUAUUUGACUUUGGCAAGUGUUGUUGCUCGUUUAUUGCACGUGUUGUUCUGGCCAUGGCGUCCAGCAUCAGUGUCUCUCAUCCACAAUGUUGAGCAUCAUCUUCCCUUUGGCCAAGUUUAGCAUCCACUGAAGUCAGCUACCCAGCUGCAAAAUAAUAGGGCUGUGAAUCUUUGGGAAUCCCACGAUUCGAUUCAGAAUCGAUUCUUGGGGUAACAAUUCGAUUUUUUUUCCCGAUUCUUUCAAAUCCAAACGAUUCAGUUCAAAAACGAUUAUUUUCUGAUUCAAAACAAUUUUCAGGAUCUACUCUAGUCUGCUGGCAUGUCAGUAGAGUACAUUUACAAAUAUGUUAUAAUUGUCAUGAUUUUAUCAAUCUAUUUUAUUAAUGUAAACACACAGAGGUAAAUACAAGACAACAUGUCUGAUUUAUUUAUGCUUGCAAUGCACACAUUUGUUGAACUUGUACAAACAAUAUCUUUCAGGCUGACAACCUUCUUGAACUUUUCACAGUUAUCAGAACACUAUAUUAAAGUAAUAAAACUGUUGUAAAAUAAAUGAAAUCGGUAGGCUUAGGCUAGCUGCCAGAACAUGCCACCACUCAAAUUGUGGGGCAGUUUUUCAAAGUGGUGAAGCGUGCGCUGAUCAGCUGCUGAUCGCGUUGGCGCUGUCUUUGCUGGAUUACAACUCUGGGUGAUGGCUUUCCAGGUGGGAAUGGGGAUUUGAAGUACUCCCGAAAUACUUUACUUCACCAUUGCAAUCUCUGCAAAUCGCGUUACUCAUAUCAAGCCCUUUCCUCCCCGGGCCGGGUUGACAGUAAAAUUCAAAGUGUUUCCAAAUGGGUGCUUUCAAAGUCCGCGGAGGCGGUUGGAUUUCUUUUUCCUCAUCCUCCAUAGCGCGACAACUUUAGACGACACUACAAACCCCUCUGUAGUCUACUUAACUUGCAUGACCUGCACAUAGCCCAUGCCGCAUCCUUGUUUUGCAUGCACUAUGGUGGCUGAGAAGGCACAUCCGCACCCACAAAAAAAAAUCGACUAUUUGAAAAUGAGAAUCGAUUCUGAAUCUUCCCAAGUUAGGAACACGAUUCGAGCUUGAAUCGAUUUUUUCCUGCACCCCUACAAAAUAAUAAUAAUAAUUUAAAAAAAAACAACCUUAAAUAGAGAAAAUAAAACAUCUCAAAGCUCAAAAUGGCUCAGAAUGACUAAUGGCAUGAUUUGAUGUGAGAUUUUGGAUGAGUAAACAGGGCCGGCUCGAGGCAUAGGCGAACUUGGCUGCUGCCCAGGGCACCGUGGCCGUACAAAGGGCGCCCCAACACUCCGUGUGAGCACCGCUCUGAUGGUGUGUGUUCUGCCAUGGAUCAGUGUGAGAACAGAGAGGAGGGAGUCCCUAAAAGGGCUCGCUAUGGGGAACAUGAGAACCAGACCAAAGCUCAGAGUUCACAUAAUGAAGUUGAACCCAGUUAUGUGUCCCUGAAGAGUGACUGGUCCAAGGAUGACGUAAUGAAUUUCAGAUCACACUCUGACUCUGAGUUUCCAUCCCUGAGGAGUAACCAGUCUAUCAGUGAACCCCUUUUAUCUAAACCUGGAGCAGGAAGUGCUGAUGAGGGCGUCAGCCAGCAGAGCUCCCAGGUUCUCCGUGGAGGCUCCGCCCCUCAGCAUCAAACACAUCUGGACUCCAUCUUUAUGGUGAGAACAAGUCUCCAUUCAACACUUUACUGUCACAUCAGUGAGACAGAAGAAGUUG